CCCAAACAACAUAUGCUGGUAAAAAGAAAAAAGGGAGCUGACUGUGCUGAAGGGGGGCUUAUGCUAAUCCGGCUGGAAAUGUUGGUAUCCACUUGGUCCGUUUGCUCCAUCGCUUUAUUACAGCAACAAUAAAAGAAGCGGUGAAAUAGGAAGAUCAAUUAUUCAUGGCCGUCUUAAAAAGCCGAAACGUUCGUCUACUCGCUUUGACGUUUCCUACCUAUUCGACCGCUGCCAGUUGCGGACGUGUAUACGAGAUUCGGAUAUCAAGUGUCUAGCUAAGCAGACAUUCGUGUGUGCGUGUGUGUGUGUGUCUACGUUUGAAUCUCUAAAAUGGCAACAUGCGCAAUGGACGGAUAUGCUGUUUCCCUGAUGACUCCAAAAGGCUGGAUCUUUCAGGAAGAAAAAAAAAAAGUGUAGACACUGUACGUCACGCCAGGACAAACAAUUGCUCCACAUCGCAGACGGGGCCGUGUGUUGAGUGUGGGAUAUAACACGCUGUCUAUUAUCAUAGCUUUCUUUUUGAAACACAGCCCUAAACUGUUCACCUAAAUCUAUACAGUUCGCGGAAAAGUUUAUUUUUUAUUUUUUGUGAAACAAGAGAAGGGAAACGAACAAAAAAAACAAACAAAAGCCGCUAGCUGCGGGAUAGUUAUGCAGAAUUCUCUCGUCUUGUGCUGUUGUGCGCCGUUAGUUCUCGCCACCUCCCUCGGAGCAACAACAUUAAACCCGACAUGACCAUGCAUCACAUUCGGCUCUGGAGAUGAACUCAUCGCCGCCAUUUGUUUAAGGCUUUUACUGCAGCGACGUCAAAUAAAGAAAGAAAACUUCCCAACAUCGCACACGCAGAAAUUGAAGCUUUUCAGCUUAUCGACAUGUUCGACUGAAGCUGACAAAACGGGUAGGAGGGCUUUCCUGAGGCUGGCCUUUGAAAAAAAUAAAUAAAAGGUACAAGAAAUUGUAAGGAGAUUCUUCCUCAAGAGUUGUUCUGCCCAGCAGCGUCCGUCCACCUCGUCACGGCUGGCCAGAUUGCGAGUGAGGCUUCAGUUGCAGCUGGAACAGUCCAGGAGGAAACGAGUAGCCUUACGUCGUUCAA